rnacentral:rRNA from 1 species
GACGGAGGAUGCAAGCGUUAUCCGGAAUGAUUGGGCGUAAAGCGUCCGCAGGUGGCAGUUCAAGUCUGCUGUCAAAGACCGGGGCUUAACCCCAGAAAGGCAGUGGAAACUGAAGUGCUAGAGUGCAGUAGGGGUAGAGGGAAUUCCCGGUGUAGCGGUGAAAUGCGUAGAGAUCGGGAAGAACAUCGGUGGCGAAAGCGCUCUGCUGGACUGCAACUGACACUCAGGGACGAGAGCUAGGGGAGCGAAUGGG